rnacentral:lncRNA from 1 species
CUGCGUAGUGGGGAGGGGGAGCCUGAGGGGGAAUGACCAAACCGCCCCCCGCGUUAGUUGCACCCCGGGGGCUUCCUGCGGCGCGUCGGACGGAACUGCCCCUGCCCCUGCCCGCGGCCGCGGCGGACGGGAUGAGAAUAUUCGCCGGCGCGCGGGCGGGAGUCAAUGACGCGCGGAGGCGCGCGGGCGGCGGAGGUCUCUCGGUGGCGGGCGCUUUUGCUUUGCUCUGCCGGGUGGUGGUGAACUGGUGGUGGCAGCGGCGGACGGCACGGCGGGGUCGUGGGUGGGAGUGGGAUUCGAAUCGCCGAAUGUCGUGAGAGGCUUGCGUUGCGAGUUGCGAACGACUUUGCGAGGCAAAAGGGGAGGAGAGGAGACGCGUGGAUUCCAAAGCUCAUCGGCCGCCGGGCGCUGGCACCUGGGCCCCGCCGGCGCGGUCAGAUGCAGCGAGCUGCGAGCGCCACCGGCCCACCGCAGCCGGCAGAGACCCG